rnacentral:misc_RNA from 1 species
GAUGAAGAACGUAGCGAAAUGCGAUAAGUAAUGUGAAUUGCAGAAUUCAGUGAAUCAUCGAAUCUUUGAACGCACCUUGCACCCUUUGGCAUUCCGAAGGGUAUGCUCGUUUGAGUGUCAUUGUACUCUCACUCUCCCGAUACUUUUGGAUCGGGAGUGGUGGACGUGGGUGCUGCUGCUUAACUGUGGCUCGCCUUAAAUGAAGUAGUGCAACUCUCGGUUGGACAUAGUACGGCGUGAUAAGUGUCUUCGCCGGCGCCUCAUUCGAGGGUGGCCGAUCGGGAGCUCUGUGCUUCAAACUGUCUUCGGACAACAUCUGACAACUUGACCUCAAAUCGAGUAGGACUACCCGCUGAACUUAAGCAUAUCAAUAAGCGGAGGA